rnacentral:rRNA from 1 species
GAUGAACGCUGGCGGCGUGCCUAAUACAUGCAAGUCGAGCGAACAGACGAGGAGCUUGCUCCUCUGACGUUAGCGGCGGACGGGUGAGUAACACGUGGAUAACCUACCUAUAAGACUGGGAUAACUUCGGGAAACCGGAGCUAAUACCGGAUAAUAUAUUGAACCGCAUGGUUCAAUAGUGAAAGACGGUUUUGCUGUCACUUAUAGAUGGAUCCGCGCCGCAUUAGCUAGUUGGUAAGGUAACGGCUUACCAAGGCAACGAUGCGUAGCCGACCUGAGAGGGUGAUCGGCCACACUGGAACUGAGACACGGUCCAGACGCCUACGGGAGGCAGCAGUAGGGAAUCUUCCGCAAUGGGCGAAAGCCUGACGGAGCAACGCCGCGUGAGUGAUGAAGGUCUUCGGAUCGUAAAACUCUGUUAUUAGGGAAGAACAAAUGUGUAAGUAACUAUGCACGUCUUGACGGUACCGAAUCAGAAAGCCACGGCUAACUACGUG